rnacentral:lncRNA from 8 species
AUAGACUCUGAUACAAAAGUUAAGAAGAAAAAGGUCAAACGCUUCGUUAAAGCCAAGCCCACUCAAAAUCGGAAAAGUCAAUCUGCUUCCACCUUGAACAGAAAUGGCAAAUCACAUCGUUGCGAACGACCACUCCACUUUGUGGGGAAUAUGUCCACUAACCACGAAUCUAAACGGCCAUACCUGGAAACAGUCCUGGAGGACUGCUUAACUUGUCAUGCGCUAAUUGAUUCGGGUGCGACAAUAUCACUCAUCUCUCAAACAUUGUUUGAUGAUCUCAAAAGGGCUUUGAAGCCAACUAAACGUUGGUUAAAAGUGGAACGAUGCGACACUAAACUUCGAGGGGUCACUCAGACUACCUCGCCUCUCACAUUGAGUCAUGCUGAAACUACACUUCCAGGACGUAUCGCUCAUUCACCCUGUGUAUGUUACCAGCCUCGAAACUGUAACCCUGCUACUUGGAGCAGACUUGAUGGAUCGGUUACUCCCAUUGAUGGAUUGGAAAACCAACCAGGUAUGGUCACAGGCCACAGUGCCUUCUCCACUGACCACACUGUCUUCCCCUAACGCUAGCUGCAAUGCAGUCAUUCACGAGGGGUAUCUGUCGAAAGCACCCCUUGGGAAAAAGACGUUUAGAAACCUCUUGGUGCAGAAUCCGAUCCAAGGAGAUAUUACGAUAUCUCGACACAUUCCAUCAGCCAAUCUGAUUGACCAUUCUUUUCAUGAUUUCGAGCCAGCUGUCUCUGUGAAUGAGCAACUUCCCUCCUCCUUGCAGUCGUGCAAUACGAUAGUUGAGAUGAACUUCCCUUGCCCUUCGGACACUUCCGCAAGCACUGCGGCCAUCUCAGCAAGAAAAACAUUGAUGCGCAGAGUACACUCUGCUUCCGAUGAUACACCUUCUGCUUUGUUGGGGACUGUCACCCCUUACAAUGACACUAAUGGCGUCAGUCCAGCAACUGACCCGAUGACUCCCACUGGUGAAACACUUUGCGAUAUCGCAGACCGAUAUCCUCGUCUCAGUUUGCAGGUACUGAAGAGGUUGCCACACGCGGACGCGGUGGUGACUGACAGACCUCGACAGCCACUGAGGGGGUUGAAGCACAAACACCAGGAGAUUUGGUUGAAAGGUUACAGCCAUUCUCAUAAUAACGCGGCCACGGACAACUCGUACAUAGGGUCCGACCUUUUCGUUUGCGCCUCGGACACCAACACCACCCGCUGGUGGGGGGGUCCCGAGACACAAAGGGGGGGAAUAGUAGCCCAGACCCAUGAUGAGCCUCAUCGAGGCCGGUGGGGGGGUCGAGACUACGGACAACACCGUACGAGGCCGCCAGAUCAUAAAUCAAAUCUAGUUGUAAACUCC